UCGAGUUGCUGGUUCGCCCGAGCGCAAAAGGCCUCGAGUACAAAGGGUUAAAUUAACGAACGCUAGGAAACCUGUCAUUGAAAACACACCACAUGAAAAAACGUAUGCAAAUAAGAUGUGAAGCGAGCGACUGGAAAAUCUAUCAGUUACUGAAUAUUAUUUAUAAGAGUUAAUCGUCGACGGAGCUUAAUAGGUAUUUUCUAUUAAAAGGAAGCCAAUUAAGCCGAGAGACCUUGUCCCGUCGCGACUCUAUUUUGGAUUUCAAUGUAAGACCGAUGCUAUCGAAGCCGGGCAGGAAAUUCUGCUCGGGACUCGACGAGAUUGAAUUUAGGCUGGGAUUCGAAAUAGAUGAAGGAAGACGCGACAGAAGGACUCGUACUCCGGCGACGACGAGGACGAUUCAACUUGAAAUUCUCGGAUGUCCCGAGUUCCCUCUGUAUCGAGCUCGACGUAAAUUAAAGAAAAUCCAUCGGUCAUUUAAUCGAUUCUACUUCGAUGUUUCUCGGAUUUGGAAAAAGUUUCAACGAGUCUUGAAACUACUUAAAGAAACUGGAGGGGAACUGCGUAAAUAAAGCAGAUGGCGAAAAA